AACUAGCCCUGAUGGAAACGGCAUCCUUUUUAGUUUGCUUGAGGUGUCACACUGAGCUUGUCGAAGUGCCGAAAGCAGAAUAAAAAGAUAUAGUGGACAGCAGGAAUAGCU
rnacentral:sRNA from 1 species